UACGGAGGGUGCAAGCGUUAUCCGGAUUCACUGGGUUUAAAGGGUGCGUAGGCGGGCUUGUAAGUCAGUGGUGAAAGCCCGGGGCUUAACUCCGGAAUUGCCGUUGAUACUGCAGGCCUUGAGUACGGUUGAGGUGGGCGGAAUACAUCAUGUAGUGGUGAAAUACUUAGAUAUGAUGUAGAACACCGAUUGCGAAGGCAGCUCACUAAAGCGUAACUGACGCUGAGGCACGAAAGCAUGGGGAUCAAACAGG
rnacentral:rRNA from 1 species